CGGCGUGCUUAACACAUGCAAGUCGAACGAUGACGACCGAGCUUGCUCGGUCUGAUUAGUGGCGAACGGAUGAGUAACACGUGAGUAACCUGCCCCCCACUUCGGGAUAACUUCGAGAAAUCGUGGCUAAUACCGGAUAUGAACUUCCGCCGCAUGGUGGUUGUUGGAAAGUUUUUCGGUGGGGGAUGGACUCGCGGCCUAUCAGUUUGUUGGUGAGGUAAUGGCUCACCAAGACGAUGACGGGUAGCCGGCCUGAGAGGGCGACCGGCCACACUGGGACUGAGACACGGCCCAGACUCCUACGGGAGGCAGCAGUGGGGAAUAUUGCACAAUGGGCGAAAGCCUGAUGCAGCGACGCCGCGUGAGGGAUGACGGCCUUCGGGUUGUAAACCUCUUUCAGUAGGGAAGAAGCGAGAGUGACGGUACCUGCAGAAGAAGCGCCGGCUAACUACGUGCCAGCAGCCGCGGUAAUACGUAGGGCGCAAGCGUUGUCCGGAAUUAUUGGGCGUAAAGAGCUUGUAGGUGGCUUGUCGCGUCUGCCGUGAAAACCCGAGGCUCAACCUCGGGCGUGCGGUGGGUACGGGCAGGCUAGAGUGUGGUAGGGGAGACUGGAACUCCUGGUGUAGCGGUGAAAUGCGCAGAUAUCAGGAAGAACACCGAUGGCGAAGGCAGGUCUCUGGGCCAUUACUGACACUGAGAAGCGAAA
rnacentral:rRNA from 1 species